CCACCCCGCUGGUUUUAACUGGAGGCUUUCUGAGCAUCUCUGUGCCGAUCGGACACAAAUGCAGUUAUUUUUAAUACAUUAGAUGGGCUCCUUUUGAAGAAGCUGUCAGGAAAAUCCACUGCAGGAAGUUUAAUGGGUGUUAACCUUGUCUGAGUGCCCUGCAAUUACCCGCUUCUAGUCUGUGGCAGGUUCGCCAGGGUAUGAGCGUUCCUUGCCCUGGCUCCUGACCAGCACAUUCCGGACGGCUCUAUUCGCAGCUCCGGAGUGACACGGCCCAGACACACUUGCGGUCCCUCCCUGACUUGCAGGAGCUGGGGGCUUCGUGAUUCUGCCAAACAACUGGGAAGUGACACCCCAGACAGCAGCAUCCCACGGCUGUUGUGAGCAGUUACAAUUGAGUGAUGCCCAAGCAGGAAUGAUUCCCAAACAGCUCCCGUACUCUCUGAACGCUGAGAGCCUGGAAGUGUGAGUUUUUAAGGAGAGGAACCGUGUUUGAGUUAUAAGAAAACAAGGCUCUUGAAAGAAUUCUCUUAACCUUUAAAUAUGUCAAAGGAGAGUUACUGAAAUUUACAGUAAGUUCACCUUUUCGCAGACAACAGGCUAAAAAUGUUUAAGUCCAAAUAAUGUUGCUCUUUUUCAUAAGCUUCAGUGUAAGAUUUACUCAAACACAGUGGCUGUCCUCAGACUCAUGUUUCUUGGAUAACUCUAUUUCUUUGUUCUGUGUUCUUUUGCAACAUUGUUUUAAUAAUUCCUUUGAGCCCAAGCCUUUUAUCAUAAGCUGCCUCAGAUCUUUUUGAAAGUAGGCAGUGUUUAAAAUCUACGGAUGACUUUCACCAGGGGUACUGGACUAACUCUCCUGCCAUAAACAACUAUAAAAUUGUACACGAUGUAUCAGGCAGUUGUUUUCAGACCCUGGACAAACCUCAGGACUGUGGUCCCUAAGGGCACGGAUACUCGCAAGGUGAGCCCAUCAUCACCAUGCCUCUGUUUGGGGACAGUUUCCUGAUGGAGACAUAAGAGCUGAGGUCUGGGAAGAACGUUAUUAUCUGAGCCAAGGAGGCAGAGAUCAGAGAUGGGGGCUGUGGCUGUGGCUACAUCUGCAGAGCCAGGUGCUAGAGAGGGGGACUGCAUGGUGACGGUCCUCAGAAGCCUACACCAGCUUUCCUAUGGGAUCUGUGCUGGCCCAGCGUGUACAGAACAAGGCCACGAAAGGCUUAUCAGAGGGUGGCUGGCAUCCUGGCAGAGCUAGGGGGAAGAAGUCUCAUUAACAUAUGAAGCAGCCAACAGAGAUGCCAGGAAGCCCAUGCCACAGGAGGAUGGAGAAGCCCUAGAGCGAGGCCUCCAAACCCACCCCAGCUAAGACAAAAUCCACAGAGGAGGCUGAAGGUGCACACUGAGUUCUUCCAAGUGAGAAGGGAUAUUGGAAAAUGCCUUGGGCUUUCCGUAGUUGUUUACUCAACUAAGCAUGAAACCAAGCCGACCCAAGUUCAAGAUGACGAGUCUGCCACUGAACUGCCUGCUAAAAUAAGAAUCAACCCUCUCCAAAGGAACACAACACAAUCCAGUCUCUUUAAUGUGUCAUCUACAAGGUCUAGUAUAGGUUAAAAAUUACUAGAUAUGCAAAGAAAGUAAAAUGUGACCCAUUGACAAGAAAAAAAUGAGUCCAUUGAAACAGACAUCAAGGUGGAAGUGAGAAGCAGGAGGUGCCAGGAGUAAAUCAGCAUGAUAUGAAUCUGAUCAGACUCUGAGCACUCAGAGGCAUACUGAUAUUCCAGGGCAACCAUUCCAAGAGCAAAUACAGAGAAGUGGAUCUAAAGAAGUCAGCAGAGGACAUAACAUGGAAUACUCGGGCUUCC
rnacentral:lncRNA from 1 species